rnacentral:ncRNA from 1 species
UCGUUGUCUAAACAGUAAUCCAACCCAGUACGAGAGGAACCGUUGGUUCAGAUAGUUGGUAACUGCGGUUAGCUGAAAAGAUAGUAGACUACAAAUUCACCGCACAUAAUAAAUACGUGACAGAGAUGUUAAGCUUGAGCUCAUCCCGCUUCACCACUUGCCGUUACUAGGGGAAAACUUGUUAGUUUCUUUUCCUCCGCUUAUUAAUAUGCUUAAGUUCAGCGGGACCCAACAUCAUACAAUUGCAACGCACUUUGCUGCCUAUCAAAUAAAGGUAGUGGAGAGUAGGCUGAUUUGUAAUUUCAAAUAUUGGGAAAGAUAAAUCCUUUGUAGACGACUUAACUACAGAACGGGGUUUUGUAAGCAUGAGAGUAGUCUUGCACUACGAUCUGCUGAGCCCGCGUGCAACAUUA